rnacentral:rRNA from 1 species
CCUACGGGAGGCAGCAGUGGGGAAUAUUGGACAAUGGGCGAAAGCCUGAUCCAGCAAUGCCGCGUGAGUGAUGAAGGCCUUGGGGUUGUAAAGCUCUUUUACCAGGGAUGAUAAUGACAGUACCUGGAGAAUAAGCUCCGGCUAACUCCGUGCCAGCAGCCGCGGUAAUACGGAGGGAGCUAGCGUUGUUCGGAAUUACUGGGCGUAAAGCGUACGUAGGCGGUUAUUCAAGUCAGAGGUGAAAGCCUGGAGCUCAACUCCAGAACUGCCUUUGAAACUAGAUAGCUAGAAUCUUGGAGAGGUGAGUGGAAUUCCGAGUGUAGAGGUGAAAUUCGUAGAUAUUCGGAAGAACACCAGUGGCGAAGGCGACUCACUGGACAAGUAUUGACGCUGAGGUACGAAAGCGUGGGGAGCAAACAGGAUUAGAUACCCUGGUAGUCCACGCCGUAAACGAUGAUAACUAGCUGUUCGGGCUCUACGAGCUUGAGUGGGCGCGNGCUACGACAUAAGUUAGUACCGUCCGUCGGGAGGUACGGUCGCGAAGAAGUUAAACGUUAACUAAAUUAGUUAAGUUAGUUACGGACGUGAGACGUUGCCGACGGACGACGACGAGGGAGGAGG